rnacentral:rRNA from 1 species
AUUGAACGCUGGCGGCAGGCUUAACACAUGCAAGUCGAGCGGAGAUGAGGUGCUUGCACCUUAUCUUAGCGGCGGACGGGUGAGUAAUGCUUAGGAAUCUGCCUAUUAGUGGGGGACAACAUUCCGAAAGGAAUGCUAGUACCGCAUACGUCCUACGGGAGAAAGCAGGGGAUCUUCGGACCUUGCGCUAAUAGAUGAGCCUAAGUCGGAUUAGCUAGUUGGUGGGGUAAAGGCCUACCAAGGCGACGAUCUGUAGCGGGUCUGAGAGGAUGAUCCGCCUCACUGGGACUGAGACACGGCCCAGACUCCUACGGGAGACAGCAGUGGGGAAUAUUGGACAAUGGGGGGAACCCUGAUCCAGCCAUGCCGCGUGUGUGAAGAAGGCCUUAUGGUUGUAAAGCACUUUAAGCGAGGAGGAGGCUACUGAGACUAAUACUCUUGGAUAGUGGACGUUACUCGCAGAAUAAGCACCGGCUAACUCUGUGCCAGCCGCCGCGGUAACAC